GACGAACGCUGGCGGCGUGCCUAAUACAUGCAAGUAGAACGCUGAAGGAGGAGCUUGCUUCUCUGGAUGAGUUGCGAACGGGUGAGUAACGCGUAGGUAACCUGCCUGGUAGCGGGGGAUAACUAUUGGAAACGAUAGCUAAUACCGCAUAAGAGUAGAUGUUGCAUGACAUUUGCUUAAAAGGUGCAAUUGCAUCACUACCAGAUGGACCUGCGUUGUAUUAGCUAGUUGGUGGGGUAACGGCUCACCAAGGCGACGAUACAUAGCCGACCUGAGAGGGUGAUCGGCCACACUGGGACUGAGACACGGCCCAGACUCCUACGGGAGGCAGCAGUAGGGAAUCUUCGGCAAUGGACGGAAGUCUGACCGAGCAACGCCGCGGGAGGGAAGAAGGUUUUCGGAUCGUAAAGCUCUGUUGUAAGAGAAGAACGAGUGUGAGAGUGGAAAGUUCACACUGUGACGGUAUCUUACCAGAAAGGGACGGCUAACUACGUG
rnacentral:rRNA from 1 species